CCUACGGGAUGCAGCAGUGAGGAAUAUUGGUCAAUGGACGCAAGUCUGAACCAGCCAUGCCGCGUGCAGGAAGACGGCUCUAUGAGUUGUAAACUGCUUUUGUACGAGGGUAAACGCAGAUACGCGUAUCUGUCUGAAAGUAUCGUACGAAUAAGGAUCGGCUAACUCCGUGCCCGCAGCCGCGGUAAUACGGAGGAUUCAGGCGUUAUCCGGAUUUAUUGGGUUUAAGGGUUGCGUAGGCGGUCGGAUAAGUUAGCGGUGAAAUCCCGAGGCUCAACUUCGGAAUUGCCUCUGAUACUGUUCGGCUAGAGAGUAGUUGCGGGAGGCGGAAUGUAUGGUGUAGCGGUGAAAUGCUUAGAGAUCAUACAGAACACCGAUUGCGAAGGCAGCUUACCAAGCUACUUCUGACGUUGAGGCACGAAAGCGUGGGGAGCAAACAGGAUUAGAUACCCCGGUAGUC
rnacentral:rRNA from 1 species